rnacentral:lncRNA from 1 species
GCAUGCCGCGUUUCGCGCAAGUUUGGUCUGCUCUUGCGCGUUUCGCUCAAGAGCAGACCAAACGGCAAGAGAACUAUUAGAAGCGUUUCAGAUUAGAAGGAAUGGGUCUGCCUGUGUCAGUGACAUAUGACUUUGUGUCCGUCUUUAUUUGCGCUAAUUUCACUGUGUUAAAAUGCAGGGCCAACUAGCCAAACAGUCUGUCCUACUGCAGAUUUCAUUCCAAU